rnacentral:lncRNA from 1 species
AGAUUAACCUUUGUGAACGGGUUGUGGCUGUGCCGGACCGCUGUGCGUGUGUCCCUCAGCCUCCCUCCUCCUCCCCGGUACGGUGCACGCUGGAUCACCCAACACGCCUUUUAUUAUCCGGGCGCUACCGGUGAUUCAGCGCGCGGAGAGCUCGCCGGGGCCCGCGUCUCCGCAGCGGGCACCGUUCCGGCUGCAGCACGGCGCCGUGUGAGGCCCGGCCGGACGGUAACCGCGGGCCAGUGGUGGCGUGCGCACGGCUUUGGGACGCCACGCGUCCCCUCCUCUCGUCCUGGCGGCUGCGGCACAGCCGGACUUUGCCCCCCCACGGCCGGAGCUGCUCCCCGCGCGCCGUCCCCGCCCCGGCGCUGGCUGACUCACGGCGGGGCUCCCUCGCCUCCUGCCUCUCCGCGCCUGCCUCCGGUUAGGGCUGGAGCAGGCUUGCAGCGCUGCAGGGCGAGCUGCCGUCGCGCGGACAGCCCUGCCUGCCUUCCUCCUGCCCUGCCUGCCUUCCUCCUGCCCUGCCUGCCUUCCUCCUGCCCUUCCUCCUGCCCUGCCGGUCGCAGCGGUGCUCACCCGCGUGCGCCCAGGGACCGUUCGUGGUGCGCAGCCCGGUGCCAGCCCCGGCGGCGGCUCUCGGCCUGCGUGGGCAGCGUGCGGGGCGCCGAGCAGGGCUCCUGCUGCGCCUCGUGGUGCUGCCGCCCCGCAGGCCGAGCGCUGCGACGAGCCUCCCCCUCCUGCUCCUCUUCCCCUGCUUUUGCUCUGGGAAUUUUGCUUUGGGAAGCGAGGGGCCCGUGGCGAGGGGGGGCAGCCGAGAUGCGGGUACCGAGCCGGCUGCGGCAGCGGCACAGCCGCCCGCACGGCCGCCCUGCUGCACGCUGCCCUGACCCAGCUGCCUGCUGCCCUGCCCAGGGGCACGGGGGGCUCCUCCGCUCACAUUUCCGUGGCUUUGCUGCAGCUCUCCCGGGGCAGCUGCACACAGGACACCGGGGCGGGCACGCUCAGGGGUCCGUGCCGCAAGUGCAGCGCCUUCCUGCAGCCACCCAGAGCCUCGUCUGCUGCCGAGCGCUUGCUUGGCGCCGUGAUCUUUGA